UACGUAGGGUGCAAGCGUUAAUCGGAAUUACUGGGCGUAAAGCGUGCGCAGGCGGUUUGUAAGUCUGUCGUGAAAGCCCCGGGCUCAACCUGGGAAUUGCGAUGAAGACUGCAAGGCUUGAAUCUGGCAGAGGGGGGUAGAAUUCCACGUGUAGCAGUGAAAUGCGUAGAGAUGUGGAGGAACACCGAUGGCGAAGGCAGCCCCCUGGGUCAAGAUUGACGCUCAUGCACGAAAGCGUGGGGAGCAAACAGG
rnacentral:rRNA from 1 species